GAUGAACGCUGGCGGCGUGCUUAACACAUGCAAGUCGAACGGAAAGGCCGAAGCUUGCUUCGGUACUCGAGUGGCGAACGGGUGAGUAACACGUGGGUGAUCUGCCCUGUACUUCGGGAUAAGCUUGGGAAACUGGGUCUAAUACCGGAUAUGACGAUCUCUUGGAUGGGGUUGUGGAAAGCUUUUGCGGUAUGGGAUGAGCUCGCGGCCUAUCAGCUUGUUGGUGGGGUAAUGGCCUACCAAGGCGUCGACGGGUAGCCGGCCUGUGAGGGUGUACGGCCACAUUGGGACUGAGAUACGGCCCAGACUCCUACGGGAGGCAGCAGUGGGGAAUAUUGCACAAUGGGCGCAGGCCUGAUGCAGCGACGCCGCGUGGGGGAUGACGGCCUUCGGGUUGUAAACUCCUUUCGCAAUCGACGAAGCCUUUUGGUGACGGUAGGUUGAGAAGAAGCACCGGCUAACUACGUG
rnacentral:rRNA from 1 species